CCAGGAUAUCCAUGAAGCACUGAGGCAGGGAACAGGUCUGCUUGACUCAAGACAUUGCUGCUGCUCCUGCAUUUCAUGGGUUUUAAGAGCAGAAGAGCUCAUCGGACCAUCUGGCUGGAACUCUGCACAGGCCAUAGACCUCACCCAGUUCCUCUCUCCUGAGAGUGUGCCAGCAGCCAGGGUUCGCUCAGGACACAAAGUAGACAGUACUGACAGCAGGGACUGGUCGUGACCAGGAUGCAGGAGUGGGCAUCAAGGAAAGCGUGCCCCUUCCCAGACGGUUCUGCCCACAUUACCUAACCCAGAGGACGCGGUGUUACCUCCACCUGGGCUCCCAAACACCCUCUGGAUGGAUGGGGCCCUGAGCAUCCUGUUCUAGUACCAGACCUGGAGAUUAGUGGCCCUGCCUGUGUCGGAGGGCUGGAACUUGAUUAUCCUUGGGGUCCCUUACAACCCAAGCCAUUCUAUGAUUCUAUGAUGACUCUGGUCAACCUUGCCUCGACCCUUCCUAAAGACCCCACUGCUCAACAAGAUGCAGGAACUCAUUGUUGCCUUGGGAACGCCUUCAGAACACACAGCACCCUACCUAGGGCACGGCCUGUAGCACCUUGGAGCUC
ensembl:lncRNA